rnacentral:rRNA from 1 species
GUUCUCAGUUCGGAUCGGAGUCUGCAACCCGACUCCGUGAAGCUGGAUUCGCUAGUAAUCGCGCAUCAGCCAUGGCGCGGUGAAUACGUUCCCGGGCCUUGUACACACCGCCCGUCACACCAUGGGAGGUCGGUAACGACCCGAAGUCGGUAGCCUAACCGUAAGGAGGGCGCCGCCGAAGGUGGGAUUGAUGACUGGGGUGAAGUCGUAACAAGGUAGC